UAUUUUGCACUAAUUACUCAUAGAGGUUAAGACCAGAAGGGACCACCAGAUCAUCUAGUCUGGCUUCCUGUAAAUCACAGGCCACUAACACCCCCAGCCACC